rnacentral:lncRNA from 1 species
UUGAUCUUAGGCAGUAGGGAGUCCUGCACCCUUUGUUUGCUCUCAAGCUGGCACGGGAUAGGGCGUUCACAGUACCAUGUUGUUGCCUUCCAGAAAUAUUUUGAUAGGUGGUACCUGUGCCUGGUCAAUCUGAGUCAUUUUUUUAUCUUUAUUUAGGUCCUGGGUGAUGACAAAAACAGCAAUUUGCUUUCCCUCGUCUAUCUGAUCCCAUCACAUCACCCUGAAUCAGUUGAUGGAAUCUGGGGAAUCCAUUUCCGUGCCCUAUAUUCUGUGAGAACCUCUUAUAGAAGCCACCAGCUUCUCAGUUUGUUAUUGACUCUGCAUAAAGGUGUUGGCUGCUAUCAGCAGAAGCGGUAGAGAAUAUCACAGAGAAAAAGUUGCCUUGGUUGGGAGAACAUGGAAAUGUACAACAAAGUGUCCUUGAAGUAGAAAUUUUAGAAACUAAAAUAAUACAUGUACUUUAAGCGAUACUAAAAAUGCUGUGACAUCCUGUGUUAUUUAGUUAGACCAGAGGACAGCAAACUUUUUCUAUAAAGAGCCAGACAGGAAGUAUUUUAGGCUUUCCUGGCCAUGCAGUCUUUCUCAAUUACUCCAUUCUGCCACUAUAAUGAGAAAAUAGCCAUAGUGAUAGGUAAAUGAGCAAGCCAGUUGUUUCAAUAAAACUUUAUUCAUGUACACUGUAGUGUUUAUUUCACAUAAUUUCCCCAUGAUAUGAAGUAUAGUUCUUUUCUUGAUUUUUUUACCCCCAACUGUUUUAAAAAUGUGAAAACAAUCCUUAGCUCACAGGCCACAUAAAACAAGGCAUGAGCUGGAUUUGGACUGUGGGCAGUAUAUUAGCAACCUCUGGUUUAGACACACAUGAAGAUGAUAUGAUGAGAACAAUAUUCAGAUUUGGACUUAUAAAGAAAAUAAUGUGUUGUGUGUGUAUAUAUGUAUAUAUCUAUCUUUAUUUUAAACUCUCAAAUUUACUUGAACAUAUAAACACAUUUGCCUACAUCUGACUUAAUUUGGUAAUAAAGUGUGUCUCUUCAGUUCUAUUCAUUGAAUGCUUUGCUUUCUCUUCCUGGCAGUGGACAUGUUCAUGGUUGUAGUACAGCCUUGCACCACAAAACGGCAUUUUGGUCAACAACAGACUGCAUACACAAUGGUGGUCCUGUCAGAUUAUAAUAAUAGAGCUGAAAAGUUCCUGUUGCCUGGUGACGUUGCAGCCAUCAGAACACCGUAGUACAACAUAUGACUCAUGGACAUUAGUGUAAACAAACCCUUGUCCUGCCAGUUGGAUACAAGUACAGCACGUGCAAUUUUGUAGAGUAUCAAUACUUGGUAAUGAUAAACAACUACAUUACCAGUUUAUGUAUCUAUUAUACUAUACUACUAUUUUUGAGUAUAUUUCUUAUUUUUAAAAAAUUACAGUAAAAGAGUCUGCUGUUACACCAGCAUCGGUUUCAUACGUCUUUUUCUCAUAUUUGAUUUACUCUUUUUUUCUUCUAUCAUGGCUUAGAAGCAAUAGGCUAUCUUACAUAUGUGUUGUGCAUAUGCAUGUGUACACUUGCAUAUCUACAUACACACACACAUACACCAUAUAACCUAGGUGGAUAGUAGGCUAUAUCAUGUAGGUUUGUAUAAGUACACUCUAGAAGUUUGCAAAAUGACAAAAUUACCUAAGGACACAUUUCUCAGAAUGUGUUCCCAUUCUUAAGAUGAUUUCAUAUAGAGCAAAAUGAAGAAUUCUUACUAGUUGGCUUUAUAAAUACCCAAAUCAAGAGAGAACUGAGUGGUGCAGUUAAUCACAUUUCGAACUAUAUUCAUUCAUUCAGUAAGUAUGUAUUAAUGAUCUACUUCUUGCAUAGGGCAAUCCAUGGUAAUAUGGAGUCAAAGAGGUUAGAUCCCUAAGAGGUAGGUAGGUAGGUAGGUAGACAAAAAAAACCUAGUGACUUAUAAGUUUAGUGAAAAUGGUUUGGGCAUGUCACUGUAUAAAUGUAGACAUUUGAAGCAGUGGAUAGGCAGUCAGAAAAGGCUAAGUUUAAAUCUGAGCUCUUCUGCAUCUCAGCUGUGUGAACUUGGGUUGAUUAUAUAAACCAUAUAAGCUUCAGUUUCCUCUUUUUAAAAAUAGAGGUAACAAUAACUACUCUAAAGGAGGUUGUGGGAAUUAAAUAAGGUAACAUGUAAAUUAGCUAGCAUGGUACCUGGGAUGUGAUCAGCAGUCAAUAACUCCUAGCCAUUGUUGUAUUACAGCAAUAUGAGGAUAUAUCACUUGUUCACCCAGAAAACACAGUAGGAGGUGGGGGGAGCGUGACCUUUUCAGUAAUGAAGUCAUGGAUACAUAUGGAAACCCACAAACCUGAGGUUUGACACCUGGUAGAGAACAUUUGGGUGAAAAUAAAAGCAGAAGUAACAUUGUCCCAGGAAUAUGUAAUGAGGCACCAGGCCAGUUGACUUCCCUAGCAACCAGCAGCUGGAUUGUUUUAAGAAGCUCCACCUACAGGUCUGACUCCCCAGCCUGCCAACACUGAGAGGCCAGUUCUAACUGGAAGAAAGUGCAUCAAGGAUAAGAGCCCCUACCACCUUGCUUCCUUCCAGUCAGGUCAGCUGUGAGCCUUGGACACCUGUAGGUCCCUCCUACUAUGUUUUCCGGCUGUGUUUGCCCAAUUUUUGGCCUCCAAUAUGACACACUCCUUUCUGGCCAUUGUGCCUUGCAUCUAGAUCUCAGUUCUGAGAUGUGGGGCCCUGUCCUGGUCCCUAACUUACUUUUACCAUGAUUUUGAUGUCUUGUUUAGCUCAACUCUGACCAGUCCUCUUCUCCAGGGGGCUAUAUUCUAUUACCCACUCUUGCUGUGAUCAUCUUAGACCAUGGGACACAGGUCCCUUACCCUUCAUGGAUAACCUGCUGCUGGAGUAAGUCUGGACUGCUUGGUAUUAAUAGCUUUCUGAAUGUUUUACUUUGGUAUGGGACACCAGAUCUUGCACAGCCUAGCUUCCCUAAUCCAGGACAGCUCCUGUAUUCACAGCCUGGCCCUGGGAAUACCCCUACCCUGGUCUUGACUCACACCCUUUCUCCACUGGCCAUGUGCUGUCAACUAGUUCUAGCAUGCCUUGUGAUCCCGUUAUGGCAGCAUUCAAUAAUGCUUUCCAAGUAAAGAUGACAAAAUUAUUGGCAUAGGAGUGUAGUGGAGAAGUUCAAUUGAUCUGACAUCAUCAACUGACAAUAUUGUUCUGUGGAAAAGCGAGCAUCAAAUAAAGUUGGCACUAUUUAAAUUUAAACUAAUUGCUUAUUGAAGAAAUACUAUUCUAUGCCUGAUUAUAACCAGCUAAGAAGAAUGUGUUAGCAAAGUAGAAGUGACAGUCAACUUGAAGUAAGUGACCACAGCACCCUUGAAAUUGUAAUAGCCAGAGAAGGCAACUGCAUUCACUAACCUCAUGUGAAGACGAAGACAUCAUAUGUACAUGAGCCUGUCUGGGCAGGAAAUAGGGAAUAAAGCUCAAGAAGGAUGACUUGCAAUAUAUGUUUUUGUAAAAUCAGUGAUUUCAAGGAAGAAAAGAAAACAUUAGAAUGCUUGCUGAAGAAGUGAUCUGAUAAACCUGUGGGUUUGGGGGGUGGGAGUAUUUUGUUUUGUUUGUGGUACUGGGCUGAGCUAUAUCUCCAGCCCUUUUUGUUUUGAGACAGGGUCUUCCUAAAUUGCUGAGGCUGGCCUGGAACUUGUGAUUCUCCGGCCUCAGCCUCUAAUUUGCUAGGAUUACAGGCAUGCACCACCAUGCUCAGCAUUAGCUCAUAUUUAUAAAGGUCACGCAGGAAAGACUGGAGGAAGGAUGUACAGUAGUCCUGCCCUUAUCUGCAGGAAGGUUAUGUUCAAGGCCCUCAGUGGAUGCCCAAAACCACAAAGAAUAUCAAAUCCAUAUAAACUAUGUUUUUUUCCUAUACACAACAUACCUAUGAUAAUGUUUAAUUUACAAUUUAAGACACAGUAGGAAAUUACAACAAUAACUAAACUAGAAAAAUUAUGACAAUAUAUUGUAAGAAAAGUGAUUUAAAACUAGUGAAUUGUUUAUUUCUGGAAUUUUCCAUGUAAUAUUUUCAGACUAUGGUUCACUAAAGGUAACUGAAACUGCAGAAAGCAAAACCUCAGAUAAGGGGGAACUACUUUGUAAGAAGGGCCCAUGAGAAUAAUGCUUGAGGGGUUCAUGUCCAGAGGCAGCUGGAGUCUGGGAAUAGUACUGAAGACAAAGAUUGGUCUCCAUGUUUAUUUUUGCUUACAUUUAUAAUAAAGAAUGAGGGGUAGGGCUAUUGAAUGGGGCAGACU